rnacentral:rRNA from 1 species
GCUGUCGUCAGCUCGUGUUGUGAAAUGUUGGGUUAAGUCCCGCAACGAGCGCAACCCUUAUCCUUUGUUGCCAGCGGUCCGGCCGGGAACUCAAAGGAGACUGCCAGUGAUAAACUGGAGGAAGGUGGGGAUGACGUCAAGUCAUCAUGGCCCUUACGACCAGGGCUACACACGUGCUACAAUGGCGCAUACAAAGAGAAGCGACCUCGCGAGAGCAAGCGGACCUCAUAAAGUGCGUCGUAGUCCGGAUUGGAGUCUGCAACUCGACUCCAUGAAGUCGGAAUCGCUAGUAAUCGUGGAUCAGAAUGCCACGGUGAAUACGUUCCCGGGCCUUGUACACACCGCCCGUCACACCAUGGGAGUGGGUUGCAAAAGAAGUAGGU